rnacentral:rRNA from 1 species
GUAGGUACCGAGCGUUAUCCGGAUUCACUGGGCGUAAAGCGCGUGCAGGUGGUUUGGUAAGUCGGGCAUGAAAACUCUUGGCUCAACUGAGAGACGCUGUCCGAUACUGCCGGACUUGAGGGUGUAAGAGGGAGGUGGAAUUCCGCAUGUAGUGGUGAAAUGCGUAGAUAUGCGGAGGAACACCAGUGGCGAAGGCGGCCUCCUGGUACACUCCUGACACUCAGACGCGAAAGCUAGGGGAGCGAACGGGAUUAGAAACCCCGGUAGUCCUAGCCGUAAACGAUGAUUACUAGGUGUUAGUGGUAUCAAGCCCACUAGUGCCGAAGCUAACGCGAUAAGUAAUCCGCCUGGGGACUACGAUCGCAAGAUUA